rnacentral:rRNA from 1 species
UACAGAGGUCUCAAGCGUUAUUCGGAUUUACUGGGCGUAAAGGGCGCGUAGGCGGCGUAACAAGUCACUUGUGAAAUCUCCGGGCUUAACCCGGAGCGGCCAAGUGAUACUGUUGUGCUAGAGUGCGGAAGGGGCUACUGGAAUUCUCGGUGUAGCGGUGAAAUGCGUAGAUAUCGAGAGGAACACCUGCGGCGAAGGCGGGUAGCUGGGCCGACACUGACGCUGAGGCGCGAAAGCCAGGGGAGCGAACGGG